rnacentral:rRNA from 1 species
AGAGUUUGAUUCUGGCUCAGGAUGAACGCUGGCGGCGUGCCUAAUACAUGCAAGUCGGACGGAUUUAUUAGUGUAGCAAUAUAUUGAUAGAUUAGUGGCGAACGGGUGAGUAACACGUAGCUAACCUGCCCUAAAGUCUGGGAUAACAUACCGAAAGGGAUGCUAAUACCGGAUAAGACAAGAUGCCGCAUGGCAUCAGGUUAAAAGAUGGCCUCUGUUUACAAGCCGCGCUUUUGGAUGGGGCUGCGGUCCAUUAGGUAGUUGGAGAGGUAAUGGCUCACCAAGCCGACGAUGGAUAGCCGGGCUGAGAGGCUGGACGGCCACAAUGGAACUGAGACACGGUCCAUACUCCUACGGGAGGCAGCAGUAGGGAAUAUUCCGCAAUGGGCGAAAGCCUGACGGAGCGACGCCGCGUGAAUGAAGAAAUCUUUCGGGAUGUAAAGUUCAAUCGACCAGGGAAGAAUGGUUAUCAUAUUAAUAAUAUGGUAGCAGGGACGGUACCUGGAAUGAAGCCACGGCUAAUUACGUGCCAGCAGCCGCGGUAAUACGUAAGUGGCAAGCGUUAUCCGGAAUCACUGGGUGUAAAGGGUGUGUAGGCGGUAAUUUAAGUUUUGCGUUUAAUUUCAGGGCUCAACCCUGAAUGUGCGCGAAAUACUGAAUUGCUUGAGUGACGAAGAGGAAGUUGGAACUCCAGGUGAAGCGGUGAAAUGUGUAGAUAUCUGGGGGAACACCAAUGGCGAAGGCAGGCUUCUGGUCGUCAACUGACGCUGAGACACGAAAGCGUGGGGAGCAAACAGGAUUAGAUACCCUGGUAGUCCACGCAGUAAACGAUGUUCACUAGGUGUGAGAGGUAUCGACCCCUUUCGUGCCGCAGUUAACGCAUUAAGUGAACCACCUGGGGAAUACGACCGCAAGGUUAAAACUCAAAGAAAUUGACGGGGGCCCGCACAAGCGGUGGAGUAUGUGGUUUAAUUCGAUGCAAC